rnacentral:rRNA from 1 species
AUUGAACGCUGGCGGCAUGCCUUACACAUGCAAGUCGAACGGCAGCACGGGGGCAACCCUGGUGGCGAGUGGCGAACGGGUGAGUAAUGCAUCGGAACGUGCCCAGUAGUGGGGGAUAACCCGGCGAAAGCCGGGCUAAUAUCGCAUACGACCUAAGGGUGAGAGCGGGGGACCGUAAGGCCUCGCGCUAUUGGAGCGGCCGAUGUCUGAUUAGCUAGGUGGCGGGGUAAGAGCCCACCAAGGCGACGAUCAGUAGGUGGUCUGAGAGGACGACCAGCCACACUGGGACUGAACAACGGCCCAGACUCCUACGGGGGGCGGCAGUGGGGAAUUUUGGACAAUGGGCGCAAGCCGGAUCCAGCCAUGCCGCGUGCGGGAAGAAGGCCUUCGGGUUGUAAACCGCUUUUGGCAGGAACGAAACGGCGCAAGCCAAUACCUUGCGCUAAUGACGGUACCUGCAGAAUAAGCACCGGCUAACUACGUGCCAGCAGCCGCCGUAAGAC